CUACACAUGCAAGUCGAGGGGUAACAUAGNAAAGCUUGCUUUUCUGAUGACGACCGGCGCACGGGUGCGUAACGCGUAUACAACCUACCUUUUAGCGGGGAAUAGCCCAGGGAAACUUGGAUUAAUGCCCCAUAGUAUNUAAACUUCUCCUGAAAUUUAUAUUAAACAUUUAUGGCUAUUAGAUGGGUAUGCGUCCUAUUAGUUAGUUGGUAAGGUAACGGCUUACCAAGGCAGCGAUAGGUAGGGGUCCUGAGAGGGAGAUCCCCCACACUGGUACUGAGACACGGACCAGACUCCUACGGGAGGCAGCAGUGAGGAAUAUUGGACAAUGGGCGAGAGCCUGAUCCAGCCAUGCCGCGUGCAGGAAGACUGCCCUAUGGGUUGUAAACUGCUUUUACAGAGGAAGAACCACCCCCACGUGUGGGGGUUUGACGGUACUCUGCGAAUAAGGAUCGGCUAACUCCGUGCCAGCAGCCGCGGUAAUACGGAGGAUCCAAGCGUUAUCCGGAAUCAUUGGGUUUAAAGGGUCCGUAGGCGGGCAGUUAAGUCAGUGGUGAAAGUCUUCCGCUCAACGGGAGAACUGCCAUUGAUACUGAUUGUCUUGAGUUAUUAUGAAGUGGUUAGAAUGAGUAGUGUAGCGGUGAAAUGCAUAGAUAUUACUCAGAAUACCGAUUGCGAAGGCAGAUCACUAAUAAUAUACUGACGCUGAUGGACGAAAGCGUAGGUAGCGAACAGGAUUAGAUACCCUGGUAGUCUACGCCGUAAACGAUGGUUACUAGCUGUUCGGCCCAAUUGAGGGCUGAGUGGUUAAGCGAAAGUGAUAAGUAACCCACCUGGGGAGUACGUUCGCAAGAAUGAAACUCAAAGGAAUUGACGGGGGCCCGCACAAGCGGUGGAGCAUGUGGUUUAAUUCGAUGAUACGCGAGGAACCUUACCAGGGCUUAAAUGUAGUCUGACAGGUCUGGAAACAGACUUUUCUUCGGACAGAUUACAAGGUGCUGCAUGGUUGUCGUCAGCUCGUGCCGUGAGGUGUCAGGUUAAGUCCUAUAACGAGCGCAACCCCUGUGGUUAGUUGCCAGCGAGUAAUGUCGGGAACUCUAGCCAGACUGCCGGUGCAAACCGCGAGGAAGGUGGGGAUGACGUCAAAUCAUCACGGCCCUUACGUCCUGGGCCACACACGUGCUACAAUGGUAGGGACAGAGAGCAGCCACUUCGCGAGAAGGAGCGAAUCUACAAACCCUAUCACAGUUCGGAUCGCAGUCUGCAACUCGACUGCGUGAAGCUGGAAUCGCUAGUAAUCGCAUAUCAGCCAUGAUGCGGUGAAUACGUUCCCGGGCCUUGUACACACCGCCCGUCAAGCCAUGGAAGCCGGGGGUACCUGAAGUCGGUCACCGCAAGGAGCCGCCUAG
rnacentral:rRNA from 1 species